GCACGUGGGAAUUCAAGGGAAUGAGGAAGCAGACAAAGUGGCAAAAGAAUCAUUAAAAAUGAAAGAACCAAACAUAAACAUAUCACUCAAUAGAGCAGAAGGUAAACAGUUAGUUUUAGAAGCGUGCAAUAGGAAAUGGCAGACAGAAUGGGAUGCAUGUCAUAAGGGGCGGUAUUUUUAUAGGAUUCAAAAAACGGUAAAGAAAAGCAAAAUAAGUUUCAAUUUAAGUAGAAGAGAACAAAUUAUUUUUACACAUUUACGAACAGGACAUUCAAAUUUAAAUUACACUUUACACAUUAUAGGGAAGCACAACACAGGCUUAUGUGAGGUUUGUUUGUUAGAUGAGACGGUAGAACAUGUUUUUAAGGAAUGUAAAGCAUAUGAAGAAGAAAGGAGGAUUCUUAAGGAAGAGCAGUAGGGUGCCGGGAAUUCAAUAUAACGAAUAUAUUAAAUGAUAGUCCAAAUUCAAGGAAACAAAUAAAUGUAGUCAAAAAAUUAAUCAAGAAUUGUGGGUUAUAUUAUAGGAUAUAGAAAUUAGAUAAUUCUCUUCACACUCCAUCACAGUAGGUGGCGGUAUGCACCUUUGAAGUUGGUUCGCAACCCGCCAUAAAACCAAAAGAAGAAGAAGAAGAGUGACCUCUGGUGGAGGGUGAAUGGAAGUUCAUGGACAGGAUUCGUGACAGAGGCACAUUGGCUAACACAGAUCAAGCAGCAAGCAGCAUGGGAGAGACUCCAGCAACAAACGGCACACAGACAGAGACUCCGGCAUCAGAGUCAACACCUCCGCUCCUCCCUGAGUCUGAAACUCUUUUACUUACUCUGCAUCUUCCUCCUUAACUUCUCCUAUUUCUUUCACAACCUCCUUGUCCUCACCUAUGUCGUUAUCCGUGGCUCCUCAAGUCUCCCCGUGACUCAGCCUGUUUUCAAGUCCUCUGCCACCAGCCUCUACCCUUUCUGCCGCUUCUAGACUCACUCCUGUGUCCACUGCGGUCCAGACUCAGGAAAAAAAGACAAAUAAAGAGGAAAGCAGAACCUAGAGAAUUCAUAAAGACUCCACCAGUUUCCCCUACCAAAAUACAUUUUUGAAAAGAAUCAGCCCACAGCCAAGACGCUGAUGCAGAUAAGAACACCAGGAAGACGGUGAUGAAAUACCAGAACCAUACUUCUUGUAAAAUGAUGCUCCAUACCAAGCCAACAAGCCCCUGGGCUUCGAGCAUCAUGAUGCUAUUGUCAAAUUUAUAUUUCUGCAUUUUUAUAUAGCAACUGCUUGUCUGAACAAUUGAACAUAUUGAGUGUUUAGGAAAUCCUUCUGAAACAUUAUGAAAUAGCCUACAUUAUUCACGAAAUUUGUUGCUGAUUGUGUAUUACAGAAAUGACAUACUUGAAAUUAUUCCUUGAGUUUCUUACAUUUACAUUUAUAUAGACAUAAAACAAAAAAAAAAAAGUCUUGCAUUUAGCUUCAUUAAACCUUUUAUUGCCGUGGUCACUGGUUUAUUAUUAUUAUUAUUAUUAAUUAUAUAUAUUGAAAUUCCAAGAGUUCAAGUGGUGGAGAAUAGCAUGAAUAAGUGAUUAAAUUUAUAUAUGCUCUACAUACACAAUAAAGUAAAUGUUAGAAGCACGUAGCAGGUGCAUAUUAAGUGACUGCUGUAGGCCAUUGCUUAGGACAACAAUGUUUCUCUUUUAAAUAUAUUUAUGCAUCAGGUUAACCACACAAAGGAGACUGUCGUUGUAAAAUAUGAGUUGUGUUGUUUAAGUAGAAGUACUUGUUCAACUGCCCAUGUGGAUGAAAACAUCUGACGUAAUUUACCAUACAAGUGUGGAGCCGCGCUCGCUGUGAUUGGACAAUCUUUUAAACGAUAUAAAACAGCGUUCCAUGUUCCAACGUGUGUUUUGAUGCUAUUAUUAGGUUAGCAAUACAUUAAGUUAACGAUAAAGUGAUGCAAUGUUGUGAGAAAUGACGUCUUUUCAGAGAUCUUAACCCUACUCUCGGCCUUACUACACACUUCAAUGAACUACAAAUAACAGCGCCAUGUUUUCCCGUUCCAUUGAUAGAAUAACAGAAUCUUAUGGGUAAUGUAGUUUAAAACAUUUAGUAUAUAAACAAUAUAAUUACUAUCUUUAAUGGACAAUUGGAUAUCUAAGUAUAUUCAUUAUGAAAACCUCUAUGACGUAUCUGAGAGGCAGGCUGAAGUUUGGUAUAUUACUGUGAGCAUUUUAAAAAGCACCUUUAAGCCAUCUUUCCAUAUAUGUCUGAAAAUUGUGCCCAACAUUAUUUAGUAAACACAGCGUAAGCAAUUAUCCUGUCAAUUUUUUCUUUGAUAUUCUUACAGGACUUUGAGUUAUGACCAUUUGAAAUGUGUAUUUUUUUCACAUGUGUGCAUGUCUUAGACAUAAAUAUGAAUCAACACAGUUUAUUGUCCGAGUAUUUUCUCUUGUUCCCCUUUUAUAUUCUUACAUUAUGCUUGUGUUAGUUUUGAUGGGUGUCACAAGAACAAAUAUUUGACAGUAAUAAUAAUAAUAUUUUCUUUGCUUUUUGAUGAACACCAAUAAAUAUAAUGGAUGGACUGCGACAACUUGCAUUUCUAGUGUUGACACUGACAGAAAGACAACUUCACUAUGACAACAUAAUGCAACUAUAAAAUCAGUGCCGCAUUUUCAUCUUCACCCCCUUCACUCCUCAUGUGCUGGACAUCAGUGAUGUGCGUGCUCUAGUUUUUAAUGCAGUAUAUGUUCCAUGUUGUUCAUUCAUUGGUGAGUGACAAAUCGGCUUGUUUGUCAAUUUGAAUUUGCGUAACAGUUCCACGUCAUCAAAUGGUCCCACGACACCCAUCAAAGCCUAAUGAUGAAAAAGCAUGUAAAGUGUAAAGUCGUGUUAUUUAUGAGACCGGGUUGGUUUGAUGCCCAUAACGUAGGGAAUACAAAUAUAGCAUUUUUUUUUUUCUGUGAUGGAUAGGUUUAGGAGAAGCAUAGUGUAUAUAUUAUGUAUUAUAUUUUAUUUUGACUUUUUUAAUGACUUGAUAUUACAAAUGAAAUGUUAAAAAAAAAAAGUUUGUCUUUGUGGGGCCCAACAACAUUAAAAUGUUCUCAUUUUACUAUCUUUGUGAGGACAUUCCUUACAAUGUAGGAAAAACAAGUUUGCUCUCACACACACACACAAAUGCAAAAUACAUAAUAAUAACAGUAUUCUACAAAUUCUGUAUUUAUAUAUAUAUAUAUAUAUAUUUCUUAUUGUU